GCCACCAGAUUAGCUCUUAGAAUAAACUGCAUGGUUCAUACAGGGAGAAAUCCCAUCUGAUGUUGAAGACUCUGCAAAUCCCAUAGUUUUCAUGGACCAUUAGGAAAACAGAACUGUAUGUAUUUUUUUCUCAGAAUACCUGUAUCACUUACAGUUCUGUAAUAAGUAUGAUAAUAAUUGAAUCUUAAUUUCCUGGCUGUAGGAGGUGCUGGGAUCCAGCACGCAAUUGGCUCUAUGCAUUAACGUCUGUUAGAACUGCAGUGAAAUUUGGAAUGAAUCAGUUGGAGAUGAAGAUAUUUGGUUUUUUUCUGGUUGGUUGUAUGUUGAAAUUCCUCUCUUGUGUGAGGAGGUGUUUUCUGCCAGAUUAUAGCCAAUUAUACUGGCAGUAUAGUGUGGCAGGAGUCAUGCAGUGUGUUUUUAAACUUUGCAGAGUGAAGUGUGGGUCAGUAUAUUCAUUUUCCAGAAAAAAAGAUGAGCAGUGAGGAGAUAUAAUCUAAUGUUAUGUAGGGCAGAACAUGACGAAUUAUAGGAAGACUAUGCAUGAUUGAAUAGUUAAUGGACAACAGUAAAACUUGGGGGAAAACUGUCCUAGCUGUUCCACAAUAUAAGGAGCUGUGCUGGCUAUCACUACUCAGGAGCAAAAAAGCUGAGCAGUAGCUUAUCAAAUCUUAGACAUUAAGAACAAAAAUAGAGGACAGAAAACAUUAUGCUGCUGUUUUGUAUAAUGACAGUGGUUUGCCUGUGCUUGGGAUACUGAUGGCAUGCAGUUGUCUGUUCCUCUUGUCUUGGAAAGGAUACGGUAGGACUUGGGAAGGGCCAGAGGCUGGUGACAGAGAUGAUCAAAAGCAGAGCAUAGCAUCCAUAGCAAGAAUGACUGAGUGGGCUGGGAGUCUUCAGCCUGGGAGAGAUGAUUUAAAGCAGAUACUAGAUGUUUACAGAAUCUGAAGUGGCAUGAAGCAGCUGGAUAGGAACUGACUGUUCACUGUCUCUUCUAGCGCUACAUGAGCUCAGGUUUGCAAGUGAAGCUAUGAGGAGCUACCUUCAAAGCAAACCAAAGAAGGUGAUGAUUCUUGCAAUAGGCAGUAGAACUAUGGCAGUCUUGCUCAAGCAUGAUGUGGCUGCAGAAAGCUAAAGAGGGAAAAAAGGAGGCUGAGCAAGUAUUUGAGAGAUGUUUUGAGAGUUCCCAAAGGACAAAUUAUAUCAGGCGUGGGAUAUUCUUGGGGCUGACAAUUGCAGCAGAGGGACUUGCAAGGGAGUAUUCUGUAAUGCCUCUUCCCUCAGUGUUUGCUUAUGGGCACCAUUGGAGACAGGAUACCAUGCUGGGUAGACCUGAAUGUGCUUAUUGCCAGCUAGUACCUUUUUGAUAGACUUCACACAGUUGCUUUAUCACUACUUCAUGAUUUUCUUCUCUGUGUGGGCUUCAUUUUGCUGAAGUCGUCUCUGUCUUUAGUGUAAGCUGGUCUAGACUCCCUCUGUAGGCAAAAGAAAGCAAUAGCCAGGAUGACUUACCCUUCGGAGAUACCUAUUGCUCUCAGACCAUUGAGAACAGAGAGAUUUUCUUGAGGACUUGUAUGUCCUCUGGCUGGUGGCCAGAGGUGCACCCAUUCGGGGUGCGUUUGGUUUGAUCUGCCACUGGUGCGAAGCCUGCGGCCCCUAGGCAGCUGUCAGGAUAACUGAAUGACUAAAGAAGUUGUUGCAUGUUGUACUGGUCUAAGACCCCCAUUUCUUGAGGGAUGUGCUUUUUUCCCUAAUACAAUGUAUUUCAGUCCUUAGUAAGUAUCUCUGGGUAUUGCCAUUAAUGCUUUUUGCUUUGACUUUCUAGUGAAUUUCAGAGAAAUGCUUUUAGACUUCAGCACGUUAUCUGCUUCUUUUGAAUGGUAAGACAUGUUUCUUAUUUACCAGUGUUCCACAUCUAGGUAUUUCUAGAGAGUCAAAAUAAACAAAUCUUACUCCUUUUUUUUUUCUCCAUUCCAAGAAUAUCUAUUUUGAAUCGAUAUCUGUCAUGCUAGCAAGAACUUUGGAUUUUGUAUGUUUUAAUGAGUUCUUGUAUCUUGCUUUAGAAAUUUGCAACAUAUCCUAAUUUGGGGGUGACUCAAACUGAGCACCAUUUGGAAUUGGAAUGGACCUCUCGUGGGAAUGAAUUAAAACUGCCUUCUUGUCCAGACUUAUUGUCAAUGAUUCCUGCUGUUUCCCCUGCACCUCCAGCUGAGCUCUCAUAGAGUAAGCACAAUUAGCCUGCUUCCUGCUCCCAAGUCAUUCCUUGCCAAUACCAUGAAAAUGUCAUUAGGUACUUUUUCUACAAACAAUCUCAUUAUCCACCACUUGGUGUCCGCCUCAAAAAAUUAAAUCUGUGAAUUGUCUGCUGUGUCAGUCAAUUAAAAACAACUAUUUUUUACUACAGUCUGUUUUAUUAAUCUUUUUGUUUUUCUGUUGGAAUUCUGUAUACAAGAUAAUUAUGGUUAUGAACAACAAACAUCUGCAAGCAACUAUGAAAGCAAGCAGUACCACCAGCCAGCACCUGCCUACUCAGCUGCAGCAUGCUGCUGGGGAUUCGUACUGCCCACCAAGCAAGUGCUGCUGGAAUCUGGCAUCCAUGUCUUAUACUUACCAGGAGCACUUAGAAUGACAAAAGCACAAAAAGAAAGACGUUGUUCAGAAGACAGGAAACCAAGGAAACAGGAGCCCCGGCAGGAUUCAAAAUCAGCUUCAAUGUGAGCUCUGUGAUGUCUCUCCACAGGAGCAGGUGCAUGUGCGGCACAUAUCCGGGGAGCCAUCACAAGGUGGGAUAGGUUUGUGGAGUUAUGAACAUGACAGAGCUUGCUUAUGUUCUAGAAGUGUGUACAGCAAGUAAGAGAUCUUUCAGAAACAUUUCUGAAAGAAAAAAUUCCGAUAGAAAUAUAUGCUUUAAGUCAGUUCACUGCAGUGAACGAACUCUUGGGAUAACCAGGUGUGAACAUAAGUGUGUUGCUCAGCUUUGCCAAAUGUCCCUCCCCUAAAAUUGUAGUCUAUGCUGAGAAACCGAACCAUUUAAAAAAUGUUUUCUGUAACGUUUUUCUCUAAACUUAUGUUGAAGUGAUGUUACAGUUAACAAGGAAAUAACUUUAUCACUUCAAAAAAACCCAACAACCUAAGUGUAGCAGAAUCAAAUCUCAAGUGUAUUUCUUGAAAUAUUCCUGAAAAUUAUUCCACAAUUGAACUUGUUUUUGACUGUUCAAGCCAAUGUUUCUAAAAAAUUUUCACUCCAAAUGUUCAGUUGUCUUUGGACAUAGUACUUUAAGUCUUGUCUAAGUUAUGGCUUUGAAAAUAUCUGAGCACAAGAUUUGUCAUUUUUUUUUGUUUGGCCUGGGAAGAAGACUGCAUACUUCUAAGAUUAUUGUGUGGUCAUUCAGAGUUGUCUUUACUGGAGUUCUUUUCUAAUGUCCACUUUUAUACCAGAGUAUUUACAGCAGGGUGCCAGUAUUUACUACUCACUCUUAAAGAAGCUGAGACAAGUCUGUUUUGUCUGUGAGAUCAGCUAUGCAUCUGAAGUUGGUCUGCACUGUUCUUUGUAGUUUGUUGAGCCUAGAAACUGUUGUAUGAAUAGAAGCAGCUGACUUCUGAGAACUGCUCACAGAGAAGGGAUGCUGAGGAUGAGGAGGAGAAGGUGGUGUGAGGUAUAACCUGUUCAGAAAUGUUCUGGAAUAUUGAAGGCACUGGUGUCUGACUAAUAAAAAUAGAGGGAACAAGCAACAAACUUGUGGAAGAGAAGGUGAUGAAACCAGAAGCAGAGCUACAACUAUCUCUGAAAAUAUAUCUGGAGGGCUGCUGGAUGCACAACCUGUUUUACAUUACCAUGUAGAAGAGGUUAACAUCUUUCCUCACAAGACAGAUUGCUAUGUGAGGCUUUUGCUUUCAGACACACUCAUCAUGAUUUUUAACAUAUUUGCAACGUAGUUUUUUCAACAAUACUUGAUCUAGCUGUUGAACUUACUCCAUGCUGUUUUAUUUUGUGCAUAAUUAUCUUACUAUGAUUUUUCAAAUAUACGUUUAUGGGCAAGGUUUUGUAUUGUUGAGCUUUUUUUCUGUAGGUAAAUACUGUUUUUAAUGCUGUGCCAGGUGAUGAAACAUUUAGAUUGUUUCCAUUGUUAUUAUUUCAUGAAUUCCUGAGAAUGUUACUUUGCCUUCAGUUAUGAAAUUGUACACUAAGAUUUGAAAUCUAAAUUAAAUCUU